CGUGCUUUCAUCUCAUAGAUGGUUACCCAUUGGUGAGAUUUUUAUAGACGUUUAUCCAAAUUAUUAGGAGCUUCAAUUAACAAUAUUGAUAUGUUCGUUUGUUAUAUAUUAUUGGACACAGCUAGACUUAACGAAUAAGAUUUUAACUUCUUUUUCUUGAUACUAGCAUGCAGUCAUCCCCACCAAGCAUCUCAUUGAGAGAUCAUUUGAAAUGCAUAAGUGAAAUUUGUCUUUUUUUUGUCCUCGGCCUUGUCAAGAUGCACGAUCAAAUAUUACUCUUCCACCAACUCAAAGCGUAAAGCAUGGUCUUCAACGAUGAAAACUAACUUUUUCUCAAGUUGCAUCUUUCUCUUUCAAUCUUCAGCCCCCAGACCAGUUCAGGUGGUGAUUGUUUGUGAAUUGCCAAAUCACCUUAUGGCACUAUAUCUACCUCGUUUUCAUUUGCUGUGUUGGUGGUGCAGAGGAAAAUAAUAAACUCCAUGGCAUCUGAGCAGUUGAAAUGACUCCCUUGGCACGAGUGAGAUUAUAUUGUUCCAACCUAGAUGUGAGGUUAUCUUUUAGAAUUGUUCCGGCUCUUCUUUUUGAGUCGAAAUUUAUGAAGUUGGAUCUUUCCGUAGUUGCAAUCUUAGUGAUUUCAUUGCUUCGAGGUAGACGCCAUUUGGCACUCCACUUCGAAUUAUA
rnacentral:lncRNA from 1 species